rnacentral:rRNA from 1 species
CACGUAGGGCGCAAGCGUUGUCCGGAAUCAUUGGGCGUAAAGAGCGUGUAGGCGGUCCGGUAAGUCCGCUGUGAAAGUCGGGGGCUCAACCCUCGAAUGCCGGUGGAUACUGUCGGGCUAGAGUGCGGAAGAGGCGAGUGGAAUUCCUGGUGUAGCGGUGAAAUGCGCAGAUAUCAGGAGGAACACCUAUUGCGAAGGCAGCUCGCUGGGACGUAACUGACGCUGAGACGCGAAAGCGUGGGGAGCAAACAGG